AUCUACCGCCAUACCACACUGAACGCGCCCGAUCUCGUCUGAUCUCAGAAGCUUAGUAGGGUCGGGGCCAUUUAGUACUUGGAUGGGAGAUGGCCUGGAAAUACCGGCGCUGUAGGCU
ensembl:rRNA 5S_rRNA 5S ribosomal RNA